rnacentral:rRNA from 1 species
UGGGGAAUUUUGCACAAUGGGCGAAAGCCUGAUGCAGCGACGCCGCGUGGGGGAUGAAGGCUUUCGGGUUGUAAACCUCUUUCGCUAUCGAACAAGGCCCGCUUAGGGUGGGUUGAGGGUAGGUGGAGAAGAAGCGCCGGCUAACUACGUGCCAGCAGCCGCGGUAAUACGUAGGGCGCGAGCGUUGUCCGGAAUUAUUGGGCGUAAAGGGCUUGUAGGCGGCUUGUUGCGCCUGCUGUGAAAACGCGGGGCUUAACUUCGCGCGUGCAGUGGGUACGGGCAGGCUUGAGUGUGGUAGGGGUGACUGGAAUUCCAGGUGUAGCGGUGGAAUGCGCAGAUAUCUGGAGGAACACCGAUGGCGAAGGCAGGUCACUGGGCCAUUACUGACGCUGAGGAGCGAAAGCAUGGGUAGCGAACAGG